rnacentral:rRNA from 1 species
UGCGUAACGCGUAUCCAACUUCCCCUGCCAGGGAACAGCCCGUUGAAAAGACGGAUUAAUGCCCUAUGUUGUGCGAAGAUGGCAUCAGAUUUGCACGAAAGAUUUUAUCGGCAUGGGAUGGGAUGCGUAGGAUUAGGUAGUCGGCGGGGUAACGGCCCACCGAGCCAUCGAUCCUUAGGGGUUCUGAGAGGAAGGUCCCCCACACUGGUACUGAGACACGGACCAGACUCCUACGGGAGGCAGCAGUGAGGAAUAUUGGUCAAUGGGCGGAAGCCUGAACCAGCCAAGUAGCGUGCAGGAUGACGGCCCUAUGGGUUGUAAACUGCUUUUAUAGGGGGAUAAAGUGAGGUAUGCAUACCUUUUUGCAUGUACCCUAUGAAUAAGGACCGGCUAAUUCCGUGCC